rnacentral:misc_RNA from 1 species
UCCCCUCUUUACAACACUAAUUUUGCAAUCAGGAGUUGUUUAGUGCUCCUAAUUCAAGUGUUUCACUUUCUUUUGUUCUUUUGAUGCCAACGCAAAAUAUAACAAGGUAUUUUGUUCAAAUUCACAAAUCAGCUCUUGUACAAAAAAUGACUCCACAAAUUUCUCAAGAUCAAAGUUUUCCAAAAGCAAAGUUUGUCACAAGUUCUCACUUCCAAGUUCCAGCAACAUCUUUUCCACCAACAACAUACAAAUUCAGUUUUAAUACUAAAGAGGC